rnacentral:rRNA from 1 species
CCCUUAGAUGUUCUGGGCCGCACGCGCGCUACAAUGAUGCAGGCAACGAGUGCCGCUCCUUAGCCGAAAGGCUUGGGGAAUCUUGAAAACUGCAUCGUGCUAGGGAUAGAUGAUUGCAAUCGUGCAUCUUGAGCGAGGAAUGCCUUGUAAGCGUGAGUCAUCAACUCGCGCUGAAUACGUCCCUGCCCUUUGUACACACCGCCCGUCGCUCCUACCGAUUGGAUGGUCCGGUGAACUGGUCGGACUGCUGUUUGAAAUUGCGGGUGCAGUUGAUUCACGGGAAGUCUAGUAAACCUUAUCAUCUAGAGGAAGGAGAAGUCGUAACA